GGCGUCAACAGUUUGCAGUCCCGCGGAUAUGAGCUCGCCGAGUAUCAAGUAGACUGGUAUGUUAUGCCUUUAGUCGCUCACUGUCAAGCAGAAUGGAGACAUUGCUGUCGAGAUCAGAGAUUCCUAUAAUCGACCUCGCUCACCUAGGUAGCAUAGAGAAACCAACUCGUAGCAACUUGAAGAAGGUUGCCGCUCAGCUGCAUCGAUCACUGGCACAAAAAGGAAUUGCUUUCCUUGUCAAUCAUGGUAUUUCAAACAAUAGGCUGGAAGCAGCAUAUUCAGCAAUGGAUCGAUUCUGUGACCUACCAAGAAAUACAAGGGAGCUCUACUUGAGACAUCCACCUAGCAACCAUGGAUAUGUACCUCCAGGAGUUGAAAGGUUCUCAAAGGAACCAGCUGAUGAAGCGCGCCACACUUUCAAUGUUCUCUGGUUGGACAGAGGGCUACCAGAAUCUGAAGUACCAGGGUUCCGUGCCAUUGUUACAUCUGUAGCAUAUGACUUUCAAAGGGUGGCUUCAUUAUUGUUACGUGUUCUAGCUGCCGGUUUUGAGCUUCCAACGGAUUAUCUUCUUGACAUGCACCGUGGAAUGCUGGGAGAAGACAAUGAAACAUGUGUCCGACUUCUCUACUAUCCUCCUUGGACACCAGAAGUAGAUGAGGCAGCAAUACGCUGUGGAGAACAUACUGAUUAUGGCUCAUUCACACUGUUGGCCCAAGACUCAGAAGGAGGCCUAGAGGUGAAAACAGCUGCAGGUGAAUGGGCACGUGUUGGCUUCUUACCAGGAGCAUUAAUUAUCAACACUGGAGAGCUGUUAUCCUUUUGGACUAAAGGAGAGUACACUGCAAUUCCACAUCGUGUUGUGAUGCCUGAUCAAGCAUCAGUGCGGAGCCGAGCACGCCAUGCUGUGGUCUUCUUUGUGCACCCUGAUAACAACACUCCCCUCACUCCAUUGCCAAGUCAUGUACAGCUGACAAACAACCCCUCACCAAUACUUCCAGGGUCUGUCCAGACAGCCUAUCAGUACCUACAGAUGCGUUUUGGUGAUACUUAUGCAUGACAAAUAACAAAUAUUUGAGUUCUGCUCUCUUCAAACCAUUCUGCAUGAAGCCAAAUGACUGUGAAAUUCAUAACUUAUGACACCCUUUGCAAAUCAUUCAAUGAAACUUUACAAAUCAUGAAAUAUUUAUGGUGCUUUCAUAAUGAAAUUAAAGGCACUGAGACACAGUUUAUUAUUAUAAUUAUUAUUAUUUAAAAGAUAAUGAUUCAGGAUGCACAGUUGAAGUUGUAUGGAAAACCUUGAGAACCACUGACUUCCAGAGAAAUAUACUGUGAUGAUAUCAUAGCUCACAUUAAUGGUGGUUGGAUUUUCUUCAGUUCCAUCUCCAGCUCUGUGACUUGCCAUACAGCACUGCCAAGUCAAGGCUGACCAUGCUACCACCUAACUUGCCAUACAGCACUGCCAAGUCAAGGCUGACCAUGCUACCACCUACUGGAGAAGUUAUCUUACCCAGGUCACCACCUACGUUGAGUGCCAUGUGCCAACACUUCCGUGUGUGUGUGUGUGUGU